GUUUAUCAAAAACAUGUCUUUUUGAAUUUAAUAAAAAGUCUAGCCUGCCCACUGAAUUAUUUUGAAUGGCCGCAGUAUUUUAACUGUGCAAAGGUAGCAUAAUCAUUAGUCUUUUAAUUGAAGGCUGGAAUGAAUGGUUGAAUGAAAUAUUAACUGUUUCAUGAAAAUUUUUAGUAGAAAUUUAUUUUUUAGUUAAAAAGCUAAAAUUUUUUUAAAAGACGAGAAGACCCUAUAAAUCUUUAUAUUUUAUUGGGGUGAUAUUAAAAUUUAUAAAACUUUUAAUUUUUAAUUUACAUUAUUUAAUGAAUUAUUGAUCCAUUAAUUAUGAUUAAAAAAUUAAGUUACUUUAGGGAUAACAGCGUAAUUUUUUUAGAGAGUUCUAAUUGAUAAAAAAGAUUGCGACCUCGAUGU
rnacentral:rRNA from 1 species